AACGAACGCUGGCGGCGUGGAUAAGACAUGCAAGUCGAACGGGAUAACAUCUGUAGCAAUACAGGUGUUAUUUAGUGGCGAACGGGUGCGUAACACGUGGGCAAUCUGCCGAGAAGUGGGGGAUAGCUCGCCGAAAGGCGAAUUAAUACCGCAUAUGAUCAGUGAAGACAUCUUCACGACAUCAAAGCCGGGGCAACCUGGCGCUUCUUGAUGAGCCCGCGGCCUAUCAGCUAGUUGGUGAGGUAACGGCUCACCAAGGCUAUGACGGGUAGCUGGGUCCGAGAGGACGACCAGUCACACUGGAACUGAGACACGGUCC
rnacentral:rRNA from 1 species